UACGGAGGGGGCUAGCGUUGUUCGGAAUUACUGGGCGUAAAGCGCACGUAGGCGGCUUUGUAAGUUAGAGGUGAAAGCCCAGAGCUCAACUCUGGAAUUGCCUUUUAGACUGCAUCGCUUGAAUCAUGGAGAGGUCAGUGGAAUUCCGAGUGUAGAGGUGAAAUUCGUAGAUAUUCGGAAGAACACCAGUGGCGAAGGCGGCUGACUGGACAUGUAUUG
rnacentral:rRNA from 1 species